AGCUCUGCUCCCCGAGCCAUAUGGGAACCCUGAUUCCUUCUAUCUUGGAAUACCAUGCUCUUUUAGUCCGCGGGGUCAUAAUGUACUAGAACACUCCAAAAGCCCCACAAGACGGAGAAAGUGUAAGAAGCCAUCCAGAAUAAACCUCUCUCCGUGCACCGUGAAAAGCACACGUGGCUGGGAGUCAGAGACGCAGCCCCACCUCCGAGACUUACUGAGGACGCUCUUUGCCUCUCUUUCAGACGAUUUACAGGAACGACACCACCAGAUUCCUACACACAAAGAUCAACUGACCAAGGGCAAAGAAGUUACCCGACUGUUUUCAGUGUCUACAGAUAUCAGUCAUCUUUUGACUCCCUUGCCCCUCUUCCUAACAUAGAACAAGCCCGACUCACAUGCUCUGAGAGAUGGUUCUUUGGGACAAUAGUUCACCAUGUCCUCAGUUGGCUGGCUUUCCAAAUAAAGUCGCUUUCCUACACCAAC